rnacentral:misc_RNA from 1 species
GUCGAAAAGGACAUCCAUGUAAUGCUUUGUUUGGCAAUAAAUGAUGGAGAUAUCGCAACUACUUCUCGUGCUGAAGUCUAAAGCAGCAAAAUAAUGAUGGGUUCCUCAUUUACUUCCAGUUGAUCAAGAACCAAUCUAACCAAACCAACCCAACAGAAAAUAUAAAAUGGUGCAACACAAUGUUAGCCUGCAAACCAUGAAUGCAUAUGUAAAAUUGGAAUAAUGCUAACAAGGGAAUAAAGACCAGAAAAUACGGUACAAAGAGGGAAAUUUUAUAAUAAAAAUAGACCACAUAUAUGUCCGAAGCCAUGAGUAGAGUAGUGAACAAGGGCAAGACAAAAUUGCAACACUUAAAAGUUCAGGUUAAUACCAAAAUGUCUUUUGAUGAUGGAUGAUACUUUAUACUGUAGAUCUCACCAAGAAGAAAAAAAAAGGGAAAAA